rnacentral:lncRNA from 1 species
GUUGUCUUAAAAUUUAGAAUUUCACUAUUCUUAUACAGUUAAUAAACAGAAUAUUUUAAAUAUAUGUCUAAAUACAUUAAUGUAUGCCCACAUAUAUAUUUGUAUAUUUAUAUAUGCCAUUUAAAAUAGCUAUUGAAAUUUAGUAUUCUUAUAAUUUUUUGUUUUUGCUUUGAAUUACACUUUUGAUCUUAAGAUAAUUACAAUUUGUAUUGACCUAAAUGCUACUUCAUAUAAACGUUGUCUGGUAUUACAAUAUGUAAUAGUACUUAAAAUCUGCUUGGUUCAGUGUAGGCUAAACUCAUUAAGUUCACUAAGAAAGUAAAGAGGUGUAGAAAUGAAGACAAAAAAAGCAAGUUCACAUAAAUAUAGCUGCAACCAGGUUGGCUCACAGGAAGAACUAAAGGAAAAAGAGGAUUCCAAAAGGAAUUUUAGGACAGAAUAAGAGAGGAACUUGAAUCUGGAGCUGGGGAGUUCCUGUUGGCAUUGUCACUUUGGAGUAACUACUUCCUGAAGGAGUUAACUGUACUUCCCUGAGAGGAGCAGUGCCCUGCCAGUGGAGCCAUAGUGUUGGAGUCAUAGUGUUAUUUAUUACCUCAGGGAACCUCAGCCCGCCUCCCUAUCCCAUUCCUCCUUUUAUUUACAACAUUAAAGCUUUUAUUAGCUUGAUAAGAGAAGUCAGAUUGCGUUAUUAAGAGAUCCAGGUCUGAAGGCAGCCAUUUUGGUCUUUCAGCCUAGUACAGACAGAGACACUGGACUUUCAACCUUACCAUCUCAAGAAGGGAUGAUAUCCCCAUCUUUCAGAGGAUCAGAACUACCAUAUGACGCCACAUUGGAGGCUUUUAUCCACAUUGGAUUCUAUCUUCGGCUGAAGUUACCCCAAGAGAAAAAUGGUGUUUUGCAUCAUCGACAGAAGAUGGAACAGCCUCUCUGAAGCAACAGAUGACCCCUUAGAGUGGAUGUGUGAUACACCCAUCCCUGGCUCUCAAGGGUUCCUGAACCUCUCCUCUGUGCUGGAAAUCUACUUGAGUUCUUUCUUGUGA